rnacentral:rRNA from 1 species
UACGUAGGGGGCUAGCGUUGUCCGGAUUUAUUGGGCGUAAAGAGCGUGUAGGCGGCCAGGUAGGUCCGUUGUGAAAACUCGAGGCUCAACCUCGAGACGUCGGCGGAAACCCUCUGGCUAGAGUCCGGAAGAGGAGAGUGGAAUUCCAGGUGUAGCGGUGAAAUGCGCAGAUAUCAGGAAGAACACCUAUGGCGAAGGCAGCUCUCUGGGACGGUACUGACGCUGAGACGCGAAAGCGUGGGAGCGAACAGG